rnacentral:rRNA from 1 species
GAUGAACGCUGGCGGCGUGCCUAAUACAUGCAAGUCGAGCGAACAGACGAGGAGCUUGCUCCUCUGACGUUAGCGGCGGACGGGUGAGUAACACGUGGAUAACCUACCUAUAAGACUGGGAUAACUUCGGGAAACCGGAGCUAAUACCGGAUAAUAUAUUGAACCGCAUGGUUCAAUAGUGAAAGACGGUUUUGCUGUCACUUAUAGAUGGAUCCGCGCCGCAUUAGCUAGUUGGUAAGGUAACGGCUUACCAAGGCAACGAUGCGUAGCCGACCUGAGAGGGUGAUCGCCCACACUGGAACUGAGCCACGGUCCAGACUCCUACGGGAGGCAGCAGUAGGGAAUCUUCCGCAAUGGGCGAAAGCUUGACGGAGCAACGCCGCGUGAGUGAUGAAGGUCUUCGGAUCGUAAAACUCUGUUAUUAGGGAAGAACAAAUGUGUAAGUAACUAUGCACGUCUUGACGGUACCUAAUCAGAAAGCCACGGCUAACUACGUG